rnacentral:rRNA from 1 species
CCUACGGGUGGCUGCAGUGGGGAAUUUUGCGCAAUGCUCGUAAGAGUGACGCAGCGACGCCGCGUGAAUGACGAAGGCCUUCGGGUCGUAAAGUUCUUUCGACAGGGAAGAAAAUGCAUAUAAGUGACUGUGUAUGUAUUGACGGUACCUGUAUAAGCAGCCCCGGCUAACUCCGUGCCAGCAGCCGGGGUAAUACGUAGGGGGCGAGCGUGGAUCUGAGUGGCUUGGCGUACAGGGCACGUAGGCGGUGUUGUAAGUCAUUAGUCAAAGACUAGAGCUCAACUUUAGUAAGGCUAGUGAUACUAUAAUACUAGAGUAUCAGAGAGGAUUGCAGAAUGCGUGGUGUAGCGGUGAAAUGCGUAGAUAUCAGGAGGAAUACCGUUAGCGAAGGCGGCAAUCUGGCUGGAAACUGACGCUGAGGUGCGAAAGCGUGGGUAGCAAACAGGAUUAGAUACCCCAGUAGUC